ensembl:snRNA U6 U6 spliceosomal RNA
GUUCUCGCUUCAGCAGCACAUACACUAAAACUGGAAUGAUACAGAGAUUAGCAUGACCCCUGCACAAGGAUAACAUGCAAAUUCAUGAAGUGUUUUAUAUUUUU